CCUACGGGUGGCAGCAGUGAGGAAUAUUGGUCAAUGGGCGCGAGCCUGAACCAGCCAAGCCGCGUGAUGGAUGACUGCCCUACGGGUUGUAAACUUCUUUUGUCAAGGAAUAAAGUGAGGCACGUGUCCCUUUUUGUAUGUACUUUAUGAAUAAGGAUCGGCUAACUCCGUGCCAGCAGCCGCGGUAAUACGGAGGAUCCGAGCGUUAUCCGGAUUUAUUGGGUUUAAGGGGAGCGUAGGUGGGUUGUUAAGUCAGUGGUGAAAGGUUGGGGCUAAACCGUAAAAUUGCAAUUGAUACUGGCAGUCUUGAGUACAGGUGAGGUAGGCGGAAUGCGUGGUGUAGCGGUGAAAUGCUUAGAUAUCACGAAGAACUCCGAUUGCGAAGGCAGCUUACUAAACUGCCACUGACACUGAGGCUCGAAAGUGUGGGUAUCGAACAGGAUUAGAUACCCCUGUAGUC
rnacentral:rRNA from 1 species